GACGUAGGGCGCGAGCGUUGUCCGGAUUUAUUGGGCGUAAAGAGCUCGUAGGCGGCUUGUUGCGUCGACUGUGAAAACCCGCGGCUUAACUGCGGGCUUGCAGUUGAUACGGGCAGGCUAGAGUUCGGUAGGGGAGACUGGAAUUCCUGGUGUAGCGGUGAAAUGCGCAGAUAUCAGGAAGAACACCAAUGGCGAAAGCAGCUCUCUGGGACGGUACUGACGCCGAGACGCGAAAGCGUGGGGAGCGAACAGG
rnacentral:rRNA from 1 species